UACGGGGGGGGCAAGCGUUGUUCGGAAUUACUGAGCGUAAAGGGCUCGUAGGCGGCCAACUAAGUCCGACGUGAAAUCCCCAAGCUUAACUUGGGAACUGCGUCGGAUACUGGAUGGCUUGAAUUCGGGAGAGGGAUGCAGAAUUCCAGGUGUAGCGGUGAAAUGCGUAGAUAUCUGGAGGAAUACCGGUGGCGAAGGCGGCAUCCUGGACCGACAUUGACGCUGAUGAGCGAAAGCUAGGGGAGCAAACGGG
rnacentral:rRNA from 1 species